rnacentral:rRNA from 1 species
AGUGAACGCUGGCGGCAGGCCUAACACAUGCAAGUCGAACGGCAGCACAGUAAGAUCUUGCCCUUACGGGUGGCGGGUGGCGGACGGGUGAGGAAUACAUCGGAAUCUACUUUUUCGGGGGGGAUAACGUAGGGAAACUUACGCUAAUACCGCAUACGACCUACGGGUGAAAGCAGGGGAUCUUCGGACUUUGCGCGAUUGAAUGAGCCGAUGUCGGAUUAGCUAGUUGGGUGGGUAAAGGCCCACCAAGGCGACGAUGCGUAGCUGGUCUGAGAGGAUGAUCAGCCACACUGGAACUGAGACACGGUCCAGACUCCUACGGGAGGCAGCAGUGGGGAAUAUUGGACAAUGGGCGCAAGCCUGAUCCAGCCAUACCGCGUGGGUGAAGAAGGCCUUCGGGUUGUAAAGCCCUUUUGUUGGGAAAGAAAAGCAGCAGGUUAAUACCCCGCUGUUCUGACGGUACCCAAAGAAUAAGCACCGGCUAACUUCGUG